rnacentral:rRNA from 1 species
UACGUAGGGGGCAAGCGUUGUCCGGAAUCAUUGGGCGUAAAGCGCGUGUAGGCGGCCAGAAAAGUCUGCUGUGAAAACUCGAGGCUCAACUUCGAGCUGUCGGUGGAAACUUUCUGGCUAGAGUCCGGAAGAGGAGAAUGGAAUUCCUGGUGUAGCGGUGAAAUGCGCAGAUAUCAGGAAGAACACCCGUGGCGAAGGCGGUUCUCUGGGACGGUACUGACGCUGAGACGCGAAAGCGUGGGGAGCAAACAGG